UGCGGAAUAUUAGAAAUGGACGAAAGUCUGAUCUAGCAACACCGCGUGUGCGAUGAAGGCCUUCGGGUUGUAGAGCACUUUUUGGAAGGAUUAGGAAGGAAUGUACUUCCAGAAUAAGUCUCGGCUAGCUACGUGCCAGCAGCCGCGGUAACACGUAGGAGGCGAACGUUAUCCGGAUUUACUGGGCGUAAAGCGCGUGUAGGUGGUUCUGUAAGUAGGGCGUGAAAGCUCCUGGCUCAACUGGGAGAGGCCGUUCUAAACUGCAGAGCUAGAGGAUGGUAGAGGGAGGUGGAAUUCCGGGUGUAGCGGUGGAAUGCGCAGAUAUCCGGAGGAACACCAGUGGCGAAGGCGGCCUCCUGGACCAUUCCUGACACUCAGACGCGAAAGCUAGGGUAGCAAACGG
rnacentral:rRNA from 1 species